GAGAAAAAGAGAAAGGCCAAUGAAGAAAUACAGCAUAUAUUGCUACUGUGUGUCUCGGGCUUAUCUUAUAGCCCGUCAUAAAUGUGCCUGUUUAGGGCUGUGUUAAAUUGUUACAGAAGCGAUGCCAAGUGCUGAGCAGAUUCAUAAAUAUAAUAACAGAUUAUUAUAGCAAAGACAUUUUAUUGCAGCCCAGGAGCCAAUGAUGUCUGAUUUAUGAAGACCUAAAACACACCUACAAUUUAAAGUAGGCCCCCGGGGAAGCUCUUGGUGAGUCAUCAAGCCCAAGGCAAUUAUUGGCAGAAUUAAAUUCUGGCUAAUUUCCUUAGUGCCGGCGUGUCCAGUGCUCUCAUUAACUGCACUAGUUACUGAUGGAAACGACAUCGUCUUUCAGUGCAGGGCACUUGGCUGAAGUGGGGCCAGCCUCCUGCAAAGUGCCUGCAAGAUUGGUUUGGAGUAUUCUGAAGUGGUUUGGGGGUCCCCAGAGACUCGUAGGCAUGGUAUAGUGACUCCUGUCAGGGCUUCCUUGGCCUCAGUGGAAAGUUCUGAAGUGAGACUGUGCUAAUGCCAGGCUCGGUUGCUAAGACAGCUUGUGUGUAUUAUUAUGUGGGAAGAAGAGAUUCAGCAACACAACUCACCUCCCCUCGCGGGGAGAAGGAUGUGAAAGGGAGGGCAGGGACCCGGAGGAGAGAGAUGAAGUAAAGGAAGGACAAAAGCUGGAGAUGAGUCUGGAAAAGCCUCCAGGCACAGUCACUUCCAGGGCAGAGGAAGCUGCAGUCGAGGAUAAUUGCAAGCCAGAGAGCAUACAGUGUAUUGAGUUCAGGUGUCUUAGGAAGGUGUCAAGAAGCGAAAGGAAUGGGAGAUGAGACAAAGAUGCCAAGGUUUGCUGCAGCAAGCUGGAGGAGAGGGGACACUCGGUGGAGCAGGGUGGGGGAAAAUAAAAAAUGCCUUUGCAUUUACGGGGUGAGUGUUUACCCGCACAGCACAGGCUUUGAGAACUUUCUCUGUGACGACUUCUGCAUUUGUGACAAAAUCCCAUUGUGCUGUCGUGUUUUCUGUUUGCCAGUGUCAUGGACAAAGCAGGAUGCUUUUCAUAAGUGACACUUGAGUAGAGGAAGGAUGAUGUCUAACUUCGGUCUCUAAAUGGCUAAGAGCUUAAUGCCAUGGGACAGGGUGGAGAGCCAGGAUGCAGGAAGAUUGGACUUGAGCCAGACCGGAGAACGUGGCUGUCACAGAGAUGUGGGCAUCACACUUGUGAGGCUGAGAAGUCCCAUGAUCUGCCAUCUGCAAGCUGGAGAACAGGAAAGCUGACGGUGUAGUUCUAAUCCGAACCGGAAGGCCUGAGAACCAGGGAUGCCGACAGUGGUUUUAUUUACUUGAGAGUGAGAGCACAAGCAAGGUGAGAGGCUGAGAGUAAGAAGCAGACUCCCUGCCGAGCAUGGAGACCGACGUGGGGCUCGAUCUCAGGACCUGGGAUCGUGACCUGAGCCGAAGGCAGACACCCAAUAGACUGAGCCACCCAGGAGCGCCUCCAUUUCUUGAUGAAAGACUCAUGCCACGUCUUUAAAGGACUUCCAGAAUCACAGAAGGAGUCACUUGUGAAUCUAGGAGCAGAGGCCAGGCAUGGUGUCUCCCUCCAGAGUGCCAUCUAGUAGACCACAUGUGUAUCCAGACCCGUAGUCCUUGGGAAACAGUGGAAUGCUGGAUCCCUGUCCAUAGGCCCCAAAGACAAGUCUAAAGUGCAGUUUUUAAAGGUAUGAAUGGAACAAUUCUAAGCCCAGACCAGAACAUAAUUUAACAGGAAAGAAUAUCCAAAGGAAAAAAGACCAUCUCUUCAACAAAUGGUGUUAGGAAAAUUGGACAGCCACAUGCAGAAGAAUGAAACUGGACCAUUUCAUUACACCAUACACAAAAAUAAACUCA